UAGGCCUCCUCACCUCCCAUCUCUAUCCAGGCCCAGGCCUACCUCAUGGCUGCCCCUCCCCCGCCCAGCAGCAGCGGCUGGACGGGGGAGAGAUCCGAACUCCGUCCCUCGAAGUCCCAAGAGAGCCUCCCAGGGCCAAAGCUCUGCUUUUAACCCCUGGGUGUUCUCGGAGGUGUGUCCUAAAACCCACUGGCUACCCCAGGUGCCAAUAUCAAAAUCCAAGCACCCAUUGGUUUGACCACAACAUCCCAGAAUUCCCACUUCUUCCUGGUCAAACCACCACACCCUGUAUGGGCCCCCACCGACUAUUUUCUUAUCACAUCGGCGGUCACCAAAAUGUCGCAGUCGAGGUGGUCACGACAUUAAAGCAGAGACCACAAGCACACUCAGUCUUAGUCUCAGUUGUCAACCGUUAGCACCGUUUGCCACCAUUAGCAACCGUUGGCAACAGUUUGCAACACUUUAUUAGUGAAAAUGGCUGAUACACUUUCCAGUUUUUUCCCCUCCAGUCACAGAAGGCUCCCAUCUUUCCUCUCUUGAUCUCCUUGGUUCAACUUCUUCCUCUUACUUCUCACUCCUUUAGCCAACAGGCCCGCUGCUAGCCCCUUCCACACUGGUCCACUGCUGAAAGUGAAAAAAAAUUACCUUUGUUAUGAUUUAGGUGAUCCUGUGUUAACCACGUCUUCUGUCAAUGAGCCUUACAGGCUGCAGCUGACAGAGUCACUCCACCUGAAGGACAUUGACUGGCAUUUUGUCUCUGUAAAUCCUGAACAGAAGGGAACUUGGAACCGAAUUCGUUUUCCUUGUACCAGUUUAGAUCCCGCUGUUCAUGUGUAGCCUCGAGACGCCAUGAGACCUUGCCUGCUUCUCGUCCUACUCGUGAUCAUCCCACCUGCGAUCUCCUGCAUAGUGCCGCAGCCCAAACCACAUAUGGACUACCUUGACAAAGGUUCUCGGACAUCAACAGAGAAACUGACAACUGGCUGAAUGGACUGUUCAAAGGCUGGGGACUCUCGGGCUGGUUGGGAUCUAUUCUGAAAACUGUGUUUUUAGUGCUGUUUAUUUUAGUUAUAGUUAUUGUAGUUGUAACCAUUGUUUUUGGACUAAUCAAACGCAUGGUUCUCAAGUUAAUUUCAAGCUCAUACCCCCCUCCUGAGGUCUACCAUUUGGAAACCCUCAGUGCUCCAAUGGAUGACCUGGAAGCCUCAGUGGAAAACACUGACCCUCUUGUAGAGGAAGAACCGAUUUACCAACUAUGGUUUGGCAAGCAUUCCGCAUCACAAAACCAGUCCUCUUCUUUUUAAACGAAACUAGAGGGAGAUGUUGCAGUGUAUUGUAAUGUCCUGUUUUAAACUUCCGGGUCCCUUCCCAGGUGUGCCUAUACCUCUCUCCCUUCCCCCUUGCCCCCUUGCUGAGUGAGUCCUGUCAAUCAGGCUUAACAUUCCAGCAAGGUCUUCGUGUGGUUGGUCAAGUUCAAAAGAUGCCCUAUGCCCAGAGGUCAUUGGCCUGUCUAGGUGUCAUCCUCCCCUGAGACCAUGCCCCUCCAACCUGGUUGGUAGCUCACCUGCCCCUUCCCUCCCCCUCCCCCGGGAGCUUUAAAAGGUAAUCAGACCAUGUGCUCGGGAUUCUGUUGGAGCUGUUACUGACAUUCAGACCUCUGUGACCACGGAAUAAAGCCCUGGAUAUACCCCUCCGGCAGAA